rnacentral:SRP_RNA from 1 species
UGCCGGUCCCCGCGCAAUGACAAGCUGUGAACCCCGCCAGGCCCGGAAGGGAGCAACGGUAGCAGCCGGCGCAUGUGCCGCGGUGCGGCUGGCAAGG